rnacentral:rRNA from 1 species
AGCGCAGGCGGUGCGGCAAGUCUGAUGUGAAAGCCCGGGGCUCAACCCCGGUACUGCAUUGGAAACUGUCGUACUAGAGUGUCGGAGGGGUAAGCGGAAUUCCUAGUGUAGCGGUGAAAUGCGUAGAUAUUAGGAGGAACACCAGUGGCGAAGGCGGCUUACUGGACGACAACUGACGCUGAGGCUCGAAAGCGUGGGGAGCAAACA